rnacentral:rRNA from 1 species
GAUGAACGCUGGCGGCGUGCCUAAUAGAUGCCAGUCGAGCGAACGGACGAGAAGCUUGCUUCUCUGAUGUUAGCGGCGGACGGGUGAGUAACACGUGGAUAACCUACCUAUAAGACUGGGAUAACUUCGGGAAACCGGAGCUAAUACCGGAUAAUAUUUUGAACCGCAUGGUUCAAAAGUGAAAGACGGUCUUGCUGUCACUUAUAGAUGGAUCCGCGCUGCAUUAGCUAGUUGGUAAGGUAACGGCUUACCAAGGCAACGAUGCAUAGCCGACCUGAGAGGGUGAUCGGCCACACUGGAACUGAGACACGGUCCAGACUCCUACGGGAGGCAGCAGUAGGGAAUCUUCCGCAAUGGGCGAAAGCCUGACGGAGCAACGCCGCGUGAGUGAUGAAGGUCUUCGGAUCGUAAAACUCUGUUAUUAGGGAAGAACAUAUGUGUAAGUAACUGUGCACAUCUUGACGGUACCUAAUCAGAAAGCCACGGCUAACUACGUG